GACGAACGCUGGCGGCGUGCUUAACACAUGCAAGUCGAACGGAAAGGCCCUGCUUUUGUGGGGUGCUCGAGUGGCGAACGGGUGAGUAACACGUGAGUAACCUGCCCUUGACUUUGGGAUAACUUCAGGAAACUGGGGCUAAUACCGGAUAGGAGCUCCUGCUGCAUGGUGGGGGUUGGAAAGUUUCGGCGGUUGGGGAUGGACUCGCGGCUUAUCAGCUUGUUGGUGGGGUAGUGGCUUACCAAGGCUUUGACGGGUAGCCGGCCUGAGAGGGUGACCGGCCACAUUGGGACUGAGAUACGGCCCAGACUGCUACGGGAGGCAGCAGUGGGGAAUAUGGCACAAUGGGCGGAAGCCUGAUGCAGCAGCGCCGCGUGCGGGAUGACGGCCUUCGGGUUGUAAACCGCUUUCGCCUGUGACGAAGCGUGAGUGACGGUAAUGGGUAAAGAAGCACCGGCUAACUACGUG
rnacentral:rRNA from 1 species